UGUCAAUUAUGUUUUGCCAUGCUAAUACUAACGCAGCAGCCAGGGCCUUAUAGAACUUGUGCUGAGGGCGAAUUAGUUAAAUCUACUUUCUCGGUCGCUCUUCAUUGGGCGA